rnacentral:sRNA from 1 species
GAGGGAUCAUUACCCGAGUUUACAACUCCCCAAACCCAAUGUGAACGUUACCAAACUGUUGCCUCGGCGGGAUCUCUGCCCCGGGUGCGUCGCAGCCCCGGACCAAGGCGCCCGCCGGAGGACCAACCAAAACUCUUAUUGUAUACCCCCUCGCGGGUUUUUUUAUAAUCUGAGCCUUCUCGGCGCCUCUCGUAGGCGUUUCGAAAAUGAAUCAAAACUUUCAACAACGGAUCUCUUGGUUCUGGCAUCGAUGAAGAACGCAGCGAAAUGCGAUAAGUAAUGUGAAUUGCAGAAUUCAGUGAAUCAUCGAAUCUUUGAACGCACAUUGCGCCCGCCAGUAUUCUGGCGGGCAUGCCUGUCCGAGCGUCAUUUCAACCCUCGAACCCCUCCGGGGGGUCGGCGUUGGGGAUCGGCCCUCCCUUAGCGGGUGGCCGUCUCCGAAAUACAGUGGCGGUCUCGCCGCAGCCUCUCCUGCGCAGUAGUUUGCACACUCGCAUCGGGAGCGCGGCGCGUCCACAGCCGUUAAACACCCAACUUCUGAAAUGUUGACCUCGGAUCAGGUAGGAAUACC